rnacentral:lncRNA from 1 species
CGGUUUUGUUGUUGUUGUUUGUUUUGUUUGCUUUGUUUGUUUGUUUUUGAGACAGGGUUUCUCUGUAUAGCCCUGGCUGUCCUGGAACUCACUUUGUAGACCAGGCUGGCCUCAAACUCAGAAAUCUGCCUGCCUCUGCCUCCCAAGUGCUGGGAUUAAAGGCGUGCGCCACCACCGCCAGGCAGCAGUAAGCAGUCUUAACCUCUGAGAACAAACUUAGCCUUCAGCCCCAAUCACUUAUUUUUGCAGGAUUUUACUGUGUAGUCCUGGCUCACGUGGUACUCAAUAUGACUUCUGACUUGGAGCAAUCUACCUACCUUAUCAGUGCUGGCAUUACAAGCAUGAGCCAUUAUGCCACACCCGAAUGGAAUUCCAUGCUCACAGCUAUGCAGGGUCUAGGUCUUCCACACCCAUCCCAAACAGAGAUCAAUCAUCAAGAGCAAGCUUAUAUCCUAGGCAGCUCUCAACGAGGUUCUGAGAAAGCAGGGAAAGGACAGAGGAUGUUGGGACCCCAGUUAGUGCUGGUGGUGGUAAAGUUCUGUCACCUUGAUUAAGGGCUCGAGCUGCGUGUCCAUCGAAAGCGUCUAGGAGUCCGCUGAGUAGAUAGAAGGAGGAGGCCGUGAAGGGGCAGCAGGGCAUAAAGUAGAAGGAAAUGAUGGCGAAGACAAUCCGGGCAUAACCUUGGGAUGGGAUGGGAGAGGUACAGGGUGUGAUUGGGGAGCCAGCUUAGGGUUUCUCGCGCCCCUCCCCACCCCCACCCCGCUGGUUUUGGGGCCGCAGGCAGCACUCACCGAUAAGGUUAGGCACGAACAGGAAGAUAUUUUCCUCUGGCAUCUUGGCGGCUCCCCUUGUCGUCUCGGCCCAGGUCUGGAGGGGCAAGGUCUUGGUACCAGCCUUACCAGCGUGGUCUCACCUUUCAGCUCCGGGCAUCAGCCGCUCCACCUGAGCCCUGGGCCCAGUUCCCCCGGGCAAUCCCAGCUGUUAGAGCCCGCAGGGCGCCGGGGUGCGGGACACCCCUGGGCACAGCUCACGCACACCUGGCCUUCCGAUGGGCAGGAGCUGACGUCUCCAGCAGCGGGCUCCGCAGCUCCGCUGCGCCUGGCUUCUGGAGCCUACUCUUCUGUCCGGGACGUUAAGAACAUCGGAAGAAGGAGAGAGCGGCUUUUAAAUAUAAAUAAAUUAAUUAAAUAAAUAAUGGCUGAGGUCCCUUUAAGGCCGGCCUGCUUCCUUUUCCUGCCGGGGCCCCUAGGCUUCGGCUCGUACCAACGCACAGGGGAGGGGAGAGACUCGAGAGCCAGCCGCAAAGGAAGAAACUGGAAAGGGAGCAGCAGAAGAGACCUGAGAGGGAAUCUGCAUUUUGCAUUUCACAGAGGGCGUAAACUCCUGGAGGCAACCGUAAGGCGUAGAGAUUACUCCGUCCCGAGUCUGCGCCUCCCCAAGAGAUUGGGUGACUUAGUACAGCCCACAUCGCUUCCCCGCCCGCGACGCUUGCGAUCCUCGUCGCUCUCCGGGACCCAGGCUGGGAAGAGGUGGCUAGAGAGGCUCCGAGCAUGCCUGCCGCUUGCUUCUAGCGCCGCCCUGGUGGUGGGAGGAUUAGAGCCCAAGUUCCACCCUAACGCCUUUCCAUCUCCUAAAUGCCUUGAUAUAACUCUGGGGUCACCGCCUCCAAGAAGGAAUCAGGAGAGCCAGUAUGGCACACUAGGACAUUGUCCUUAGUUCUAGAACCUCUAGUCUCCUAGCAACGGAACCAUAGAACUUCCGUAAACAUUUAGGUCUUUAUAGCAAUCCGGAGCAGCACUUCCCUGGCUCUCCCUCUUCCCAACCUUCUUUCCCGGACUCCCAAUCCCCUGAGGCCCAUCAUAGGGUCCCCUUAGAACUUUCCGUCCCCCCUCCUGCCGAGUACCCUAAGAUUUCAACCAAUUAGCCGGGUCGGGGACUGCAUGUUGGCUGUCUUGCCUAAGGAAGUGCCUUGGCAGAAAAGGAGGAAGAAGGGCUCUGGAGGGAAUAGGGAAGGGAGUUGUUCUGAGAGCCCCUCCCUUCAACUUAGUAGGCAAAACAACCAAUUUUUUCAAGGACAGAACUGAGAGGAUGGCAUCCACAUCUGCCAGGAGUGGGGACAAAAAGGACAUCAGGUCAUCUCAAGCUGCCGCCUCCUUAGGUGGAGGGCAGAAAUUAUCCUGCUCUGAAGAAUUCCUGACCCGAAUCAGCACAGAACUUACAGACGAAGCACUGUUUAUUGCUCGCUCCCGUUUGAGUCCUCUGCCCAAUAAGGAAAAGAACACAAAAGACCAAGGGACUCAGAUAUCUAGACAUGUGUUCUUCACUAAGACCCGAGGCACUGACACCCGCUCUGACAAAAAUCGAACCCGAACCAAGGCACACCUUCUGCCAUCUCCUCGUGAAAAGGGACCACUCCCCAACAGCCUGACAACUGGAGGAUGAGCUCGGCCCUCCCUAGUACUGCUCUCUCAGCUUCUUGCCUUCCCCCACUAUGUCCCUCAGUGAAAACCUCAAGGCCUCUCUUUUGCAACUGGCUAAGCCUCUCAUCUUGGGAGGAACUCCUGGUCAUAAGCAAUGCCACCUUUGAAACCAAGAAAAUCUUCUGGAACUGUCGCGGGGCCCUCCACCCUCCGUGGGCAAAUGCUACUGAGAAGAAAAGGUUUUAAUAAAGAACCAGGAUCCUCCCUUCCCCGAGAUGGUGGCAGUGUUCUGGAGGAGCUCCUGGCAGGGGAUGCCUUUCUUCUACAGGGAGACAGUGCAUGUCAGCAUUUCUCUAAA